AGAUGUGAGGGCGAUCUGGCUGCGACAUCUGUCACCCCAUUGGUCACCAAGGUUGAUUCAACUGAUCUGGCCUGGUGUCCCCUUCUUCCUUCACUGCUCUAUGUGUGUCCCUCCCUCCCAAAGCAGGAUGUUUGAUCAAAGAAGGAAGGUGUUCCCCAAAUAGAGAUGGGAGGGUCUUUAGUCAAGGGUAUAGGAGUAGCUAUGCUACCCUGCUAGGACCUCUAAACAAAUUCUCAAGAAAAUUCUACACUGAUGUAUAUAAUUCUACCAAUGUACAUUCUCAUGGUAAUUCAGAAGUGUUCCCUUUACUAUAUUUUA
rnacentral:snRNA from 1 species